UUUCACUUUUGUUGCUGCCGCUAGCCCUCUUCUCCUUUUCCCACCAUUUUAUUGCAGCACCACUAGAACUCCAUUUCACGCCCCCAUCCACCGAGUAGCUCCCAUCCACCUCCAUGUCACCAUUAUUCCACCACACCUGCUAGCGCCAUCUUCAACUUCCAUCGACCAGCAACAUCUUCAUCUUCACGACCACAACAUCACCAGCAGUUCAUCCCACCUCCAGCUGGUCUGCCAACACCUGCAGCUCCACCAAACAGCCACCAUCUCAGGCCACUAGCUUCACCAUUAGACCACCAGCAUGCCUCCGCCAGCUUCUCCACGCCUGUAGCCCAUCCGCCAACCCCAGCACCUUCACGCCACCAUCCAUUCCACCACUGAACAGCUGUACCGUCCUCGCCGAGCUGCCACCAACUCAGCCAUCGUUCAGCAGCUCCAAAUAGCCAGCUCAAUAGAACCGGAUUUCCCCCUUGGCCGUGAGCCUCUUAGGCUAUUUUUCCUCUACCAGUUGGCCUCCGUUGGAGAUGUGAUAGCUUUGAGUCUUAGUCACUGUCGCGCCGCCAUCGCCGUGAGCCUGCUGCCGUCCUAAUCUGGGCCGUAGCGUGGAGAUUUGCUGAGUGCGGAUGUGGUGGGUGCGAGAUGCGACACCUUUUGGCUGCCUUUGCCAUUAGUGAAGUUUAAGCUUUAGGGUUGACUGGAGGAGAAGGAAUUUUCAAAGCGAGCUGUGAAGCAGUUCUUGGUGUCGUCAAGAAAAAUAAAGACAUAAUCCUGAUGCUACUACAGGAUUUUAUCUGGGAGCCACUUGUAGAACGGUCUAGGGGAGACAUUCACGAUGAUGCAGCAAUUGGGGGUGAAGAGACAAAGGCAUGAAGUUGGCUGUGAGCUUAAGCUUAUUCACAUCUUGAGUGCGAGAAA